rfam:Macrostomum lignano unitig_42802, whole genome shotgun sequence.
UGACCUCGGAUCAGACGUGAUUACCCGCUGAUUUUAAGCAUAUUAAAGCGGAGGAAAAGAAACUAACAAGGAUUCCCCUAGUAACGGCGGACCGUGAACGGGGAAGAGCCCAAACACCGAAUCCCUUGGCGCAAGUCAACGGGAAAUGGGUGUUAAGGUUAGCCCUUCGUGUCAGUCAGUCUAGGCGUCUCAAGUCCACCUGAUUGUGGCUUCAAGCCCAGAGAAGGGUGUUAAGAGCCCGUAGAGCGCUCGACCGACUGAUUCCUGGGUUUAGCUACGAGUCGUUGUUUGAAUGCAGGCCCAAAGCGGUGGUAAACUCCAUCCAAGGCUAAAUACUGGCACGAGUCUAUAGGCGACAAGUACGUGAGGAAAGUUGAAAAGAACUUUGAAGCAGAGAGUUCAAUAGUACGUGAAACCGCUUAAGGCAAACGGAUGGUGCUGCUCAUACUGCGCCUGAGGAAUUCAACUGUGACGGUGGCUGGACGAGCUUGGCGUUCCGAUCUCUCUUUUGACGGCGCGGCGUCGGUGUUGGCUAUCAGCUCCGACAUGGCUGCACUUUCCUUGGUGCCUCCGCCACGACCGACGACACUGGCUACGCGGCUGGGGUAAGGUGACAAAACUGCUUCGGCAAUUUUGUGUUAUAGACCCCGCGUCGACAUGGUUUGGUCCAGGACGUCGAGCUUGCGGCGCCGCUCCUUGUGGGCUCGCAUGUUGCUAGCUUGGCUGCCCAGAUGCUUGCACUGGACAACGCAGUACAGGUGACGGUUUGUGGUCUUGUCUCUAGUCUGGCCUUGGCCUCGAGCUUUUCGGGCCUAUAGUCUGUGGUGUUUGUACUUGUGGGUAGACUAUCCGACCCGUCUUGAAACACGGACCAAGGAGUCUAACAUGUGCGCUGAGUCAUGGGGAAUUCUACGAAACCCAAAGGCGCAGUGAAAGUAAAGGCCUGCUUCCUCGUAGGCUGAUGGUGGGAUCUUCGUUGCAUCGCGAUUGGGCGAGCGCACGCACCGGCCCGUCCUAUCUGUCUCUGUCAGUGGGGCGGCGCAAGAAGCGUACACACUUUGGGACCCGAAAGAUGGUGAACACUAUGCUUGCGCAGCUCGAAGUCAGUGGAAAUAAACACUGAUGGAGUGAGCGCAGCGUUUCUGACGUGCAAAUCGAUCGUCAAACGUUGAGUAUAGGGCGAAAGACUAAUCGAACCAUCCUAGUAGCUGUUCCUCCGAAGUUUCCCUCAGGAUAGCUGGCACUCGGGAAACAGUUUUAUCGUAAAGCGAAAUGAUUAGAGGCAUUGGGGUCGGAAAACGACCUCGACCUAUUCUCAACUUUAAAAUGGGUAAGAUGCUCGUCUCGCUUAAUUGAGGCGGGCUUCACCUCUCUAUAAAUCGUGAAUGUGAGUGCCCAGUGGGCCAUUUUUGGUAAGCAGAACUGGCGCUGUUGUGGGAUGAACCAAAACGCGGGUUAAGGCGCCCAAUGCGACGCUCAUAGACACCGACAAAAGGUGUUGGUCGAUACUGACAGAAGGACGGUGGCCAUGGAAGUCGGAACCCGCCUAAGGAGUGUGUUAACAACUCACUGCAUGCCGGAAUCAACCAAGCCCUGAAAAAUGGAUGGCGCUGGAGCGUCGGGCCUAUACCGUGCGUUUGGGGCGAAGCAGACAAUAAAUCUGUGUGAUGUCCCACACGAGUAGGAGUCGCCGUGGUUGAGCGCAGAAGGCUGCGGCCGUGAGGCCGGCUGGAGCCGCACGGGCCAGAUCUUGGUCGGUGUAGUAGCAAUUUACUCAAGUGUGAGAACCUUGAGGACUGAAGUGAGAAGGGUUCCAUGUGAACAGCAGUUGAACAUGGGUCAGCGGUCCUAGAGCGAUCGGUGUAACUCCGUACCUACUAGACGAGGGUGACAACUAUCACUGAUACUACUGUGACAAGUGUUAAGCCCUCCCGGAUGCCGAAAGGAAUCGUGUUUAAUAUUUCACGACCCUUACCGUGGAGAUCGCCCCUUUCGGCGGGCAAGUGCGGUAACGCAAACGCAACACAGAGACGUCGGCUGGAGCCCCGGAAGAGUUUCUCUUUUCUUUGUAAGGAGCCCGUACCCCCUGGAAUCGGCUUGUCCGGAGAUAGGGGCGUCGAGCUUCCGUAAAGCAGCGCGGGUCUUGCGCUGUGUCCGGUCGCACGUCUAGUCGGCCCUUGAAAAUCUGUGGAGACAGUGUGAUUUUCACGGUACGGCGUUACCCAUAUUCCGCCAGCAGCAGGUCCUCCAAGUGAACAGCCUCUAGUCCUAAGAACAAUGUAGGUAAGGGAAGUCCGGCAAAAUGAUCCCGUAACUUCGAAAAAGGAUUGGCUGCUCGAGGGCUGUCGGAUUGGCGCUGGCUAAGAAGCUGUUCCGGUUUGGUGAGGACUGGGCGAGGCUUUCGGGUUUACUCGGACCAUGCCGAGACCAGGCAUAGCGACGUCAAGCUGUGCUUGUCGUGUGUAUUUCGGCGCGCAGCUUCGCUCCGGCAAAAACAGCCACUCAAGAACUGCACGCGACUAGGGAAAUCCGACUGUCUAAUUAAAACAAAGCAUUGCGAUGGCUUGUGUUGCUCGUGUU